ACUACUUCCAUAAGCCGAAGUGGACCUCUUACCACUUGUAAGCCUGACAACCUCCGCCGCAGCCUGAGCGGCAGCCAGUGCCGCCUCUGCAACCGCCGCAGUGGCUGCCGCAACCGCUAUAGCGUGCUUGUUCGCGUCCAGUGCUUCCGCGUAAGGGCUUGCCGGUGGGUCUUCAUUCCCAUAAGCAAUCUCAGCUCCAGUGGUUCUUCCAGUUCCAUUGGAAGAUUUUCGGAGACCCCAUUUGCUAUUCUUUCCCUCUUUCGCCGGUGGUGAUGAUUCGGACGGCGAUUUCUUAGAACCGAGAAGUGAACGUAACCAUCUGCUGGCUUUACCCAUGUAUCAUAAGUUCAUAUUCUGAGUGGAUCUCGAGACAGUGGUAAUGAAUUGAGGGGAGCAUGGGCGUGGGUAUAUAAAGGG
rnacentral:misc_RNA from 1 species